CACUAAAUACCUAAGUAAGUCUUGGUCUUUUAAACCAAAAAUAGUAUUUUUAAUACUUUUAGUGU
rnacentral:tRNA from 1 species